AAGUGUUAUCUGAUAUGUUUAAUGGGAUAGAUAAGUGGGUAUCGAUAUACGUGAUAUGUAUAUGGAUAGAUUGUUUAGUGAUUAUGGUAUUAUUUUAUUCUCAUAAAGGAUUUGGACGAGACGUGUACGCUCGAAGACGUUCAGAAAGUCAAGUGGUAUUGCAAAGCGAAUAAGGCACGAAUCGAGGAAGCGAAGCUAGAUUACGAAUAGAGUAUAGCCAGAGAUGGUAUAGAGAUUAUGAUAUGCAUAGAUUGUGAAAGUGGAAAGAUGAGAUUGAGCUGUGAGUUGGGAGUCAGAUUUAAGGCAAGUAUCCUAUACCCAUCUUUUGGAUAUCUUGCAAUUAUUUUGAUCCAUUCUUUUCGUAUGUGUCGCAAAUAUUUGCUCCUCUUUUUUUUUCAUAUUUGAAAGUGUAAAUAUUUUAUCCAUCCUUUUCUAAUCCUCAAAAAUUCAGAUAAUUCCAGUUUUACAAAUUAAUUCGAAGUUCAGAUUGUCAUUGAAGCAUGUGUUGCUCAGUGAUGGUUAGAACCUAGAAUGACUUGGGAUCUUCUUGAUUAUUCAACCCGCCAUUGUCAUGCUGGUUUAGCAGGCUAAAUUCAGUUGCUUAGCCGAUAAUGGAGGAUACUGAAUAGUUAAGGAUUUCCUGAACUAUGAUUUAUGGAAGGAUGGACUCUGGUUUAUAAAAAGUUAAUUGUCAAGUUUGAUUCGAAGUUAUUCGGUUAUUGAUAUUGAUUGUGAUACUGUUCUAUUGAUUUAUUGACCUGUUGAAUUGAAUUAUAGAAUUGGAUUAUUGUUUUUACACAAAAAUAUGUGGACCAGAUGAGUGGUCAUGUUAGGCCAAUGAGUGCCUUGGAUCCAGUGAUAGAGCAUGGAGGGGCCUGCUCGGGGUUAGGCAUGACUGAUCAGCAGCCUAACCUUGGUUUUAAUUAAAAAUGUGGUAGUCCAAUUCAAUAAUUCUUAUGAAUGAUUGAAUUCCUCAGUUUUCCAUUGCUACAUGGUAUUAUGAAUCAUUUUAUACAAUACCCUGAUCUUAUGAAUUUACAUCAAAUCUUUUAUUAAAGUAUCUUGAGCUUGUGAAUUCCUUCUAUAUUGUUCAGAAUUUCAUUGUUAUUAUUACUUGCUGAGCAUUGUUGCUCACUCUUGCUAUUCUCUUUUAACUAUUUCAGAAAGGAUUAAAGAUGAAUGGCUAAACUAUGAUUGCGAGUAAGGCUAAGGCUAGGCGAGGAGUCAGAG
rnacentral:lncRNA from 1 species